CGUAGCUCAGUUGGCUAGAGCGGUGGUCUUAUGUUUUCUUGUGAGCCGCAGGUCGAGGGUUCGAGCCCCUCCGGG
rnacentral:tRNA from 1 species